rnacentral:lncRNA from 1 species
AGUUGCAUCGGGGGGCUGGACCUGUCUAUAGACAUGAGAUGUUGUAGGGUAAAGGUGGAGUUGGGCACCAAUAACUGUUAGGUGAGGACCCAAUGACGACUUUAUUCCUACGGUUAUACGGUGGGUCUGACUUAAAUAAGAAAUGGGACCAAUAACUGUUAGGUGAGGUUUUCAUAGCUUAGAGACCAAGUUACACUACAACAUGCUUGAGAAGCAUUGUACAAGAGUUGUACAUUCAUCAAUCUAUGUGUUACCAAUAACUGUUA